rnacentral:rRNA from 1 species
UACGGGGGGGGCAAGCGUUGUUCGGAAUUACUGGGCGUAAAGGGCUCGUAGGCGGCCCACUAAGUCAGACGUGAAAUCCCUCGGCUUAACCGGGGAACUGCGUCUGAUACUGGAGGGCUUGAGUUUGGGAGAGGGAUGCGGAAUUCCAGGUGUAGCGGUGAAAUGCGUAGAUAUCUGGAGGAACACCGGUGGCGAAGGCGGCAUCCUGGACCAACACUGACGCUGAGGAGCGAAGGCCAGGGGAGCAAACGGG